CCCAAACAGAGGAGAAUGCAUAUUCAGACAGAUGGACUUUAUGUAUAUUUGUGUAGAUCCCGUUAAGGGGUGGAGGGUGUGCUGCUGGCACCCAUGUGCCUCACCUCCUUGGUGCUGUGGACAGUGGUACUGUGGUCAAGAAGACUCUUCUUAAGCACUGAGGGCAACUCUGCUUCUUGGUGCUUGGAAUGGUGACUUGGUGGCCUGGAAGGCUCCUCCUCAGUGCUGGUGAACAUUUUAUUUCAAGUGUAACUUUCAAUCCUGAUGUGUCACCUUCUUGGCUUAAGAAAUGCCUAGCAGAUUAGGAAAGCACGCUCCAGGGUAAGCCUAGAGAAAUGAGUAUCCUAAUGAAAAUAGCAAGAAAACCAUGCAGGAAACAAGUGCUAGGACUAAGUUGAUGUCCACCGACAAGUACUGAAUGGAUUCAAGACACGUAUUGGAGCCAAGAGAAAUUGGUUCCACAGCAAGAUGGCUUAAUUGCAAAUGGAAGAUCUCAAGACUGGGAGAUUCCUGGAAAUACAGGAAGAAAUUGUGGAGCUUCUUGUGACUUAGCCCCAAAUGUGACUGACUGCCCCUCCUGCUGCAUUCUAUUGGUCCUGUAGCCCACACAUAGGUUCUUAGACUUUGUCUUUUGAUAUGGGACUAAUAAGAUGUCAUUAAGAAGAGGAUAUGGGAGAUGUAAUUUUAGGCCAUCCUAGGAAAAUACAAUCUUCUACAAUUCUAUAAUAAGAAUGCUCAUUGUUUUAUAAUAUGCUUUCUUUCAUUCCUUUAAAUAAUAGAUUCCAAGAUUUAGAGUUGUUUACUAUGCUCAUAGAUAUUUCACCAGAUACUGCAAUUUCAGCAUUCUCUCUCUCCUCUCUCUCUCACACACACAUGCACACACACACACACACACACACAGACAUACACAGAUACAUACUCACACACAUACUCCCUCCUAUACCUGUCUUCUUAACUUUAUGUACUUGUAGCUAUAAGACCAUGUCUCACACAAGUAAGGUGAGUGGAAACAAUAUGUGCAUCUUAUAGACACCCUCUAAAAGUUAGAUGGGUGGGAUGUCAUGAAUUUUUCUUACCUUGCUUUCACUAGCUUGGAAAUUAUAAGAAGCAGAACAAGCAUAAAAGUCCCAUUUUUGGCAACAGUAUUUCUCCCUACCAGCCUUCAGAAAAAAAUAAAUGUGCUUUCUCUUCUGCAGUUUGCCUAUAUGUACUCUAAUUUUCCUGUCCACCAACACAGAUUGAACCUUCAUCAUAGCAACUUAUGCCACCUUAGAUAUUGUACAUUUAUGUGGUAUUUCUAAAAUCAGUGAAAUAUACAUUAUCUUAUGGCUUCAUUUCUGAAAUCAAGUGGAAUCCAAGAAAAUAGAAGAUUGAUAUGGUGUAUAAUAGAAUAUUUUAGUGGGUUGUAAAUUAAAUAACAUAUGGUUACUCAUAAAAGUUGUAUAAUCAAUAAAUUUUCAUUUUAACCAAUCAUUUAUAACUUUGCAUAUAAAAGUCUAUUGCAUAUAAACGUUUUCCUAGAAGAUAUAGGUGGGUGUGGGUGGUGUAGACAAAAUGGAGAAAGUUAUUUUUUUUAUUUCAUUGUAAAUCUUCUACUUAAAGCCAAGUUCAAUUUAAUAAAUUCAUAGAUAUUGUUUUGUUCAAAAUGUAAGCAAAUAUUACUGCUGGUUUUGGUUAUAAAAUUCAAAAAAUAAAUUAUUUAUGUUUUCCCAUAAUUACAAUUUUCUUUAAUAAUGCUAACAGGGUAUAUGCUUAAGUAGCUAAAAUUUCACCUUUAUUUUAAUUUUUCUCUCACACAACUUUUAAUCUUUUUUGCGAGGAUAUUAGGAGAAGAGCUUUAUCAAUACCAUUGUUAAUUAGGAAAAGAAUCUAUUUUGUAAAUGUAAAUGGAAACGCAUAUCUCUUCUGAAAAGAGAUUGAUAAUGAAUUCAUUACUUCAAUUUAGAGAUACCAGCCUAAAUUUUAACAUGGAUUAUGUAAGCUAUAAAUAUUUUGUUUAAAAUUAGGAUUAAAAUAAAA
ensembl:lncRNA